rnacentral:lncRNA from 1 species
AAAAGAUCAUUCACAAAAGUACUCUCUUGCAAAACCUCUUCUUCUGAUUCAUCUUCCCAUCUCCCCUCUUCACAGUAGAGUGCAUCUAGCAGGAAUGAAGCGUUUUGUUCUUGUUGUGAGUUUAAUUCAUUUUGUUCCAGUUCUUGUUGUUUUGGUAUCGCCAUCUUCCUCCAAGAAGAAGAGGUUUUGGUACACUAUUCAAUACACAAAUAAGAACCCAUUGUCCCUCUCCCCCUCUCUCUUCUUUUUCUCGAGGGUCUUUUUUCUCUGUGGUGGUGCAAGAUAGAGAGAGUGGCAGCCAGGGAGUGAAGAGAG